rnacentral:rRNA from 1 species
UACGGAGGGUGCAAACGUUGCUCGGAAUCAUUGGGCGUAAAGCGCACGUAGGCGGCCCGUUAAGUCGGAUGUGAAAGCCCAGGGCUCAACCCUGGAAGUGCAUUCGAUACUAGCAGGCUUGAGUUCAGGAGAGGGUAGUGGAAUUCCCGGUGUAGUGGUGAAAUGCGUAGAUAUCGGGAGGAACACCAGUGGCGAAGGCGACUACCUGGCCUGUUCUUGACGCUGAGGCGCGAAAGCUGGGGGAGCAAACGGGG